UUCCAAGAAAAAAAAUCAAUAUAACAACUAUCUUGAAAUGGAGCAUCAAAAUGAUCGAAAUGCGCACAUAAAACUUCAAAUGUUUGAUAUUCCUGAAAUUCCUGAAUCACGGACCAAUCAGUGUAAUACUUCCCUUCUACUCGUGAAAAUUGUGGGGAAACUCCACGUGAAGAUUCAAAUAAUAAAUUCAAGUGACGUGAAUAUAUCUGUUUUAGACGCGCUUUCUAGAUUCUGCAUCUUUCUUCUUUUUUUUUAUAUAGAUUUCGACAUGUAUUUCGAAGAAAUGUAUCGAGCUGCUGCUAAAAGAAGUCCCUUGCCGAAUAAAUAUUCUCUAAUUUUA